rnacentral:misc_RNA from 1 species
GAUGAAGAACGUAGCGAAAUGCGAUAAGUAGUGUGAAUUGCAGAAUUCAGUGAAUCAUCGAAUCUUUGAACGCACAUUGCGCCCCUUGGUAUUCCAUGGGGCAUGCCUGUUCGAGCGUCAUUUGUACCUUCAAGCUCUGCUUGGUGUUGGGUGUUUGUCUCGCCUCUGCGUGUAGACUCGCCUCAAAACAAAUGGCAGCCGGCGUAUUGAUUUCGGAGCGCAGUACAUCUCGCGCUUUGCACUCAUAACGACGACGUCCAAAAGUACAUUUUUACACUCUUGACCUCGGAUCAGGUAGGGAUACCCGCUGAACUUAAGCAUAUCAAUAAGCGGAGGA